GAGAAAGAAAGCUCAAGUUAUCCAAUAAAAGAAUGCUACUCCCCACAAACUUUCUCGAGGAGGGUAUGACUUAUUGGAAAAGAAAAGUUAAAGAAACAAAUGGAGAUAUCUUUUGGUGAAGAAGUUCUUUCUCCUCCAUCUCCUCCUAGCUGACAUGAGAAAUGGAAUAUGGUUUCUACAAAAGUAGGAGGACAAAUGACAUUUGAGAAAUCACCGAUGAUUGCUUAACGAAAUGAUGAACUUGUAGAACAAAGUUCACAAUGUAGUUUUGUCUCUUAGGGUCUUCGUGACAUAUUGACCACUACUAUUGAUACCGAAGAGCACCCUGUGCGUACCACUACUUUUGGUGUGGGCAUGAGACAAUAUUUUGGAUCAUGUCCGCAACCCAACACUUCUAGGACACCUAUGACUUAGGAGAUGAUGGAGCAAUUCGCUUAUUUGUUCGGCAAAUAAGGAGACAAGUUAUCGAAGAUUUAAGGCGCAAGUGGGAGCAAUGAUGGGAGUCCAUGUCCCCCCACCAUAAUGUGAUACAUCCAGAUCAAAUGAAUCCUCGUAGCACCAAAGAUAGUUAUGAUGUAGCGGAUGAAGGUGAUGACAUAGAGACUGAUAUCUCCUAUCGCUCUAAAUUGUUUGUUGGAGGUGUUCCUCAUUUUCUAGCCAUUGGGAGAGUUUAUCCAGGUGGGUCCACCAUGCACACUGUGCCAAUGUCUGAUGAUUUGGUUAGAGUGGUGGUUGAAGAAAUUAGAGAUGCCACUACUCCAAUACCAGUAGUGGGAGACGCACUUAGAACAUUUAUCUCAUGGCCGAAAUAAUUAAUUAAGUCUAUUUCAACAAAGAAGGUAUGCUUUUCUUAAUUACAUUAUUACAUAACUUUUAACUCACAUCAUAUUUAAGUUUGUUAGUAUGUUUUGUAAGACCUUAGGAUUAGGAAAAAGUCCCCAGUUGCAUCUCAUUCAAGCCUUGAGCUCGAGGAUGAGUCGGAGCACGAACCACAACCUAACCUGAAUGUUAAUCCAAUUCAGGGGUUGAUUGUGGCUUCGUCUGAUUUGUAUCAAUCACCUUGUGCCAUUCCUUAGGAUGCAAUAAUCUUUGGAGUUGACAAUGGUGAUAUACCUUUGUAUAUUAACAUGUUCGAUUUGUUUGAAAUAUUCCAAGGUAAUUAGAUGUUGAACAUUGCAGUCAUUAAACUUUGGAUGAUGUGAGUACACUUUAAAUGUAGAUUUUGCAUUAAAUUAUAUUUUGUGAAAUCAACCUAAACCUUGUGAAUUUUAUGAAUGCAUGUAUCUAAAUGAAUUAUUUGUCAAAGCGGGGAACAAUAAUAUUUAUGGUUUCCUUGAGCCUCAAAUUAUAGAAAAGUCUGGGAAUAGAUCAAUGCACACUCAAACUUGUAUUCAACGGUGGAUACAUGCAUCCAAGAAAAGAAUUUACAUCGUCCCUUAUAUUCAUGGGUCUCAUUGGCAGUUGAUUAUUAUUUGCCCGAUAGAUCGUAUUGUUGUAUGGUUUUGUUCAUUGCACAACAAGCCAAGCAAAUAAAUGAAAACUUUAAUACAAAGUGUUGUUAACGUCAAUGAUGUCUUUGAUGGUAAAUCCACUACAUCUUCAUCCCAUCUUGAUUGGAUUUGUCCUAAGUGCAAUAGGCACGUGGAAGCUUUGAGUGUGGAUAUUACGUUAUGUAUUGGAUGUGGACUAUAGCUCGUGCUACUAUUGUUGAUUCAUGAGCCAAUGUUUUUGAGGCUGUCGAACCAUUGGGAAAAGAUAAACUUGAAGAAAUUCGUAUGAAAUUGGUAAGAUAUUUUUUGAGGC